AAGCGGAGGAAAAGAAAAUAACCAUGAUUGCCUUAGUAACGGCGAGUGAAGAGGCAAAAGCUCAAGUUUGGAAGCUCAGUGGUUUAACCACUGCGCAUUGUAAACUGAAAACAGGAUCAAUCAGGUACACCGGGUGAUAAGUUCCUUGGAAUAGGACAUCAUGGAGGGUGAGAAUCCCGUCUUUGACCCGAGUCUAGUAUCUUUUGUAUUGGCCUGUUCAAGAGUCAGGUUGUUUGGGAAUGCAGCCUAAAGCUGGAGGUAAAUCCCUCCUGAAGCUAAAUAAUGGCGAGAGACCGAUAGCGAACAAGUACCGUGAGGGAAAGAUGAAAAGAACUCUGAAGAGAGAGUUAAACAGUACGUGAAAUUGCUUAAAGGGAAGCAUAUAAAGCUAGGAUGCGAUUGUUUUCUUCAGGUUGAGCUUUGGCUUGACUGUUCAGAAGGAUAAUCCGAGACAACAAGAAUUGGAGGAGGAGAAUAAGCUGUUAGGGAAGGUAAUCCUUCGGGAUGUUUAUAGACCUGGCAGUUCGCGCUCUUCUUUCGAUUGAGGUACGCUUUUUUUAAAGGUUGUUGUCUGAAUGGCUUUAUAUGGCCCGUCUUGAAACACGGA
rnacentral:rRNA from 1 species